AUGGGAUAACUGUGGUAAUUCUAGAGCUAAUACAUGCGUUAAAAUCCCGACUUACGAAGGGAUGUAUUUAUUAGAUACAAAACCAAUUCGUGGCAACACGAUAUUGGUGAGUCAUAAUAACUUUUCGAAUCGCAUGGCCUUGAGCCGGCGAUGCAUCAUUCAAAUAUCUGCCCUAUCAACUUUGGAUGGUAGGAUAGAGGCCUACCAUGGUUUUAACGGGUAACGGGGAAUAAGGGUUCGAUUCCGGAGAGGGAGCCUGAGAAACGGCUACCACAUCCAAGGAAGGCAGCAGGCGCGCAACUUACCCAAUCCCGACACGGGGAGGUAGUGACAAUAAAUAACAAUACAGGGCUCUUUUGGGUCUUGUAAUUGGAAUGAGUACAAUUUAAAUACCUUAACGAGGAACAAUUGGGGGGCAAGUCUGGUGCCAGCAGCCGCGGUAAUCCCAGCUCCAAUAGCGUAUAUUAAAGUUGUUGCUAUUAAAAAGCCCGUAGUUGAAUUUGAGGAGUAAAGUUUAGGUCCAUUGAAAGAUGAGUACUUUAACUUUAUUCCUUCCCUUGUAGUGAACUAUAUUGAAGAAAUUUGGUAUAGGGAACUAUGAAUUUUACCUUGAGAAAAUUAGAGUGUUCAAAGCAGGCCUACGCCGGAAUACAUUAGCAUGGAAUAAUAAAAUAGGACGAGUGAUUCUAUUUUGUUGGUUUAUAGAACCACCGUAAUGAUUAAUAGGAACAGUUGGGGGCAUUAGUAUUCAGUUGCUAGAGGUGAAAUUCUUGGAUUUACUGAAGACUAACUACUGCGAAAGCAUUUGCCAAGGAUGUUUUCAUUAAUAAAGGACGAUGGUUGGGGGAUCGAAAAUGAUUAGAUACCGUUGUAGUCCCAACAGUAAACUAUGCCGACUAGGGAUCA
rnacentral:rRNA from 1 species